GUUGUGUUCCAAAGGAAGAGGGAAAGGUGCUCUGUGACUGAAGGAAGAGAGAAUCGUAUUCUUCCAUAUCCAUUGCCGUCACCAAAUCCACCAACAUCGAUUGUUAACUGGUUUCUCCUAAAAAAAGAGGAAUACGAGAUCUACCUAAAGCUUUGAGAAGCUUGUUCGUGUCCUUAUCUUGUACAAGAAACAAAGAAGAUUGAUUUUCUCUGAGAUGUUUGAGACUUAGGAGGUGAACUAGUCAAGGGUUGGACGAGGAUGUGUUCUAAAUUCACUAGAUUUCUUUUCGACAAUAAACUCGUCACAAGCAAGUGGAAGCUUAUGGUGGGGUGAAUUUACAAAUAAUGUUAAGGCAGCCAAGUCGGUGGUACAAGAAUGAAAACUAA